GCGCAAGUGGUUCAGUGGUUAGAAUUUAUUGCUUCCCAAGCAUGAGGCCCGGGUUCGAUUCCCGGCUUGCGCA
rnacentral:tRNA from 1 species